UACGAAGGGGGGCUAGCGUUGUUCGGAUUUACUGGGCGUAAAGCGCACGUAGGCGGAUCGAUCAGUCAGGGGUGAAAUCCCAGAGCUCAACUCUGGAACUGCCUUUGAUACUGUCGAUCUGGAGUAUGGAAGAGGUGAGUGGAAUUCCGAGUGUAGAGGUGAAAUUCGUAGAUAUUCGGAGGAACACCAGUGGCGAAGGCGGCUCACUGGUCCAUUACUGACGCUGAGGAGCGAAAGCAUGGGGAGCGAACAGG
rnacentral:rRNA from 1 species